rnacentral:SRP_RNA from 1 species
GCCGGGUGUGGUGGCGCAUGCCUGUAAUCCCAGCUACUUGGGAGGCUGAAGCAGAAGAAUUGCUUGAACCCAGGAGGAGGAGGUUGCAGUGAGCCAAGAUAUGUCACUACACUCCAGCCUGGGUGACAGAGCAAGACUCUGUCUCAA